AUGAACGCUAGCUACAGGCUUAACACAUGCAAGUCGAGGGGCAGCAUGGUCUUAGCUUGCUAAGGCCGAUGGCGACCGGCGCACGGGUGAGUAACGCGUAUCCAACCUGCCUUACACUCUUGGACAGCCUUCUGAAAGGGAGAUUAAUACAAGAUGUUAUCAUGAGUAAGCAUUUUCGCAUGAUUAAAGGUUUACCGGUGUAAGAUGGGGAUGCGUUCCAUUAGAUAGUAGGCGGGGUAACGGCCCACCUAGUCUUCGAUGGAUAGGGGUUCUGAGAGGAAGGUCCCCCACAUUGGAACUGAGACACGGUCCAAACUCCUACGGGAGGCAGCAGUGAGGAAUAUUGGUCAAUGGACGAGAGUCUGAACCAGCCAAGUAGCGUGAAGGAUGAAGGUUUUAUGGAUUGUAAACUUCUUUUAUACGGGAAUAAACGAAUCCACGUGUGGAUUUUUGCAUGUACCGUAUGAAUAAGGAUCGGCUAACUCCGUGCCAGCAGCCGCGGUAAUACGGAGGAUCCGAGCGUUAUCCGGAUUUAUUGGGUUUAAAGGGAGCGUAGAUGGGUUGUUAAGUCAGUUGUGAAAGUUUGCGGCUCAACCGUAAAAUUGCAAUUGAUACUGGCAGUCUUGAGUACAGUUGAGGUAGGCGGAAUUCGUGGUGUAGCGGUGAAAUGCUUAGAUAUCACGAAGAACUCCGAUUGCGAAGGCAGCUUACUAACCUGUAACUGACAUUGAUGCUCGAAAGUGUGGGUAUCAAACAGGAUUAGAUACCCUGGUAGUCCACACGGUAAACGAUGAAUACUCGCUGUAGGCGAUAUACAGUCUGCGGCCAAGCGAAAGCAUUAAGUAUUCCACCUGGGGAGUACGCCGGCAACGGUGAAACUCAAAGGAAUUGACGGGGGCCCGCACAAGCGGAGGAACAUGUGGUUUAAUUCGAUGAUACGCGAGGAACCUUACCCGGGCUUAAAUUGCAACCGAAUAUGGCGGAAACGCUAUAGCUAGCAAUAGCGGUUGUGAAGGUGCUGCAUGGUUGUCGUCAGCUCGUGCCGUGAGGUGUCGGCUUAAGUGCCAUAACGAGCGCAACCCUUGCCGAUAGUUACUAACAGGUUAUGCUGAGGACUCUGUCGGGACUGCCAUCGUAAGAUGUGAGGAAGGUGGGGAUGACGUCAAAUCAGCACGGCCCUUACGUCCGGGGCUACACACGUGUUACAAUGGGGGGUACAGAAGGCAGCUACCUGGCGACAGGAUGCUAAUCCCAAAAACCUCUCUCAGUUCGGAUCGAAGUCUGCAACCCGACUUCGUGAAGCUGGAUUCGCUAGUAAUCGCGCAUCAGCCAUGGCGCGGUGAAUACGUUCCCGGGCCUUGUACACACCGCCCGUCAAGCCAUGAAAGCCGGGGGUACCUGAAGUACGUAACCGCAAGGAGCGUCCUAGGGUAAAACUGGUAAUUGGGGCU
rnacentral:rRNA from 1 species